AAGAACAGAUAAUGACUGGUGGCAAAAGAACACCUCUGAACCCUCAGCCACGCUGAUGACAAAAGGCAAUCUAAUGAAAUCAUAUUAUAGACACAAAACAAGAGAUCAGCUGAUUGAGAGCCUGGCAGACAGCCAAGAUUAACCCACCCAACCAAGUACUACCCAAAGUUUUAAAAAAGAUCCCAAGAAAUUUUGGUGAAGAAGAACAAAGGAUUACGUUCUGGACAGACAAUGUCUGGAAAUCAUGUUGUAUGUUGCUGAGUGUCCUAGAGCAAGAACUGGACCUCUGACAAGGGUAUGACCUGAGGGAACAGCAUGGAACUGCAUCAGAGGAGG